rnacentral:rRNA from 1 species
CAAGGCGACGAUCCCUAGCUGGUCUGAGAGGAUGACCAGCCACACUGGAACUGAGACACGGUCCAGACUCCUACGGGAGGCAGCAGUGGGGAAUAUUGCACAAUGGGCGCAAGCCUGAUGCAGCCAUGCCGCGUGUAUGAAGAAGGCCUUCGGGUUGUAAAGUACUUUCAGCGGGGAGGAAGGUGUUGUGGUUAAUAACCGCAGCAAUUGACGUUACCCGCAGAAGAAGCACCGGCUAACUCCGUGCCAGCAGCCGCGGUAAUACGGAGGGUGCAAGCGUUAAUCGGAAUUACUGGGCGUAAAGCGCACGCAGGCGGUCUGUCAAGUCGGAUGUGAAAUCCCCGGGCUCAACCUGGGAACUGCAUUCGAAACUGGCAGGCUUGAGUCUUGUAGAGGGGGGUAGAAUUCCAGGUGUAGCGGUGAAAUGCGUAGAGAUCUGGAGGAAUACCGGUGGCGAAGGCGGCCCCCUGGACAAAGACUGACGCUCAGGUGCGAAAGCGUGGGGAGCAAACAGGAUUAGAUA